GCCCCGUGUAUUCGUGUAGUGGUAGAGCACGCGUCCCCGGAUAGGAUGAAACGUGGGUUCGAUUCCCGCCUGAGGCC